rnacentral:rRNA from 1 species
GGGUCAGGAGGUUGGUCGUGCCACCGGUACGUACUGGUCUCACCGAUUCCUCCUUCCUGAAGAACCGUAAUGCCAUUAAUUUGGUGUUGCGGGGAAACAGGACUGUUACUUUGAAAAAAUUAGAGUGUUUAAAGCAAGCUAACGCUUGAAUACAUUAGCAUGGAAUAAUGAAAUAGGACGAUCGAUCCUAUUUUGUUGGUUUCUAGGAUUGACGUA